UACGUAGGGUGCGAGCGUUAAUCGGAAUUACUGGGCGUAAAGGGUGCGCAGGCGGUUCCGCAUGUCGGGCGUGAAAUCCCCGGGCUUAACCUGGGAAUGGCGUCCGAAACUAUGGGACUGGAGUGUGGCAGAGGGAGGUGGAAUUCCACGUGUAGCGGUGAAAUGCGUAGAGAUGUGGAGGAACACCGAUGGCGAAAGCAGCCUCCUGGGCCAACACUGACGCUCAUGCACGAAAGCGUGGGGAGCAAACAGG
rnacentral:rRNA from 1 species